CCUACGGGUGGCAGCAGUGAGGAAUAUUGGUCAAUGGGCGCGAGCCUGAACCAGCCACGUCGCGUGAAGGAUGACGGUCCUACGGGUUGUAAACUUCUUUUGUAGAGGAAUAAAGUCAGGCACGUGUGCCUUUCUGUCUGUACUUUAUGAAUAAGGAUCGGCUAACCCCGUGCCAGCACCCGCGCUAAGACGGAGGGUGCGAGCGUUAUCCGGAUUUAUUGGGUUUAAAGGGAGCGUAGGUGGGAUGUUAAGUCAGGUGUGAAAGUUAGCGGCUCAACCGCAGAAUUGCAAUUGAUACUGGCAGUCUUGAGUGCAGGAGAGGUAGGCGGAAUUCGUGGUGUAGCGGUGAAAUGCGUAGAUAUCACGAAGAACUCCGAUUGCGAAGGCAGCUUACUAGA
rnacentral:rRNA from 1 species